rnacentral:rRNA from 1 species
UCAAGCGAUUAAGCGCAUACGGUGGAUGCCUUGGCAGCCAGAGGCGAUGAAGGACGUUGUAGCCUGCGAUAAGGCUCGGAGAGGUGGCAAACAACCUGUGACCCGGGCAUUUCCGAAUGGGGAAACCCACCCAGCCCAGCUGGGUAUCACAUCCUGAAUCCAUAGGGGUGUGAGGCGAACCGGGGGAACUGAAACAUCUAAGUACCCCGAGGAAAAGAAAUCAACCGAGAUUCCCCCAGUAGCGGCGAGCGAACGGGGAGUAGCCCUUAAGCAUGUGACGGGUUAGACGAAGAUUCUGGAAAGGAUCGCCAUAGUGGGUGAUAGCCCCGUAGUCGAAAACCUGAAUGUGUGAAAUCGAGUAGGUCGGGGCACGUGAAACCCUGACUGAACAUGGGGGGACCAUCCUCCAAGGCUAAAUACUCCUGGCUGACCGAUAGUGAACCAGUACCGUGAGGGAAAGGCGAAAAGAACCCCGGAGAGGGGAGUGAAAUAGAUCCUGAAACCGUAUGCGUACAAGCAGUGGGAGCCCCUUCACUAAGCCACUUCGCAAGACGUGGAGAGUGAAUGACUUCUGCGAGGUUGACGGUUGUCGUUACGAGCUCACUCAACGAUGUGAAGUUCGAGUAACGACCAACCCAACAAACAAGCAGAGGUGGCUUAGUGAAGGGGUGACCGCGUACCUUUUGUAUAAUGGGUCAGCGACUUAUAUUCAGUGGCGAGCUUAACCGAGUAGGGGAGGCGUAGGGAAACCGAGUCUUAACUGGGCGACCAGUCGCUGGAUAUAGACCCGAAACCGGGCGAUCUAUCCAUGGCCAGGGUGAAGGUUGAGUAACAUCAACUGGAGGCCCGAACCGGGAUCUGUUGAAAAAGAUUCGGAUGAGCUGUGGAUCGGAGUGAAAGGCUAAUCAAGCUCGGAGAUAGCUGGUUCUCCUCGAAAGCUAUUUAGGUAGCGCCUCACGUAUUACCGCCGGGGGUAGAGCACUGUUUCGGCUAGGGGCCCAUCCCGGGUUACCAACCCGAGGCAAACUCCGAAUACCGGUGAGUAGAGCGUGGGAGACACACGGCGGGUGCUAACGUCCGUCGUGAAAAGGGAAACAACCCAGACCGUCAGCUAAGGCCCCCAAAUUCUGGUUAAGUGGGAAACGAUGUGGGAAGGCCCAGACAGCUAGGAGGUUGGCUUAGAAGCAGCCAUCCUUUAAAGAAAGCGUAAUAGCUCACUAGUCGAGUCGGCCUGCGCGGAAGAUGUAACGGGGCUCAAACCAGAUGCCGAAGCUACGGGUNNGCGGUAGAGGAGCGUCGUGUAAGCCUGCGAAGGUGAGUUGAGAAGCUUGCUGGAGGUAUCACGAGUGCGAAUGCUGACAUGAGUAACGACAAGGGGCGUGAAAACCGCCCCCGCCGGAAGACCAAGGGUUUCUGUUCUACGUCAAUCGGAGCAGAGUGAGUCGGCCCCUAAGGCGAGGCUGAAAAGCGUAGUCGAUGGGAAACGGGUCAAUAUUCCCGUACCGGAUGUGAUUGCGAUGGGGGGACGAAGAAGGCUAGGUGAGCCAGGCGCUGGUUGUCCUGGUGAAAGCCGGUAGGCUGGGAUCUUAGGCAAAUCCGGGAUCCCUUGUGCCGAGAGGCGAGACGAACGCACCACGGUGCGGAAGUCAUUGAUGCCACGCUUCCAGGAAAAGCCUCUAAGCUUCAGAUCACAUGCGACCGUACCCCAAACCGACACAGGUGGUCAGGGUGAGAAUCCCAAGGCGCUUGAGAGAACUCGGGUGAAGGAACUAGGCAAAAUGGCACCGUAACUUCGGGAGAAGGUGCGCCGGCUUAGGGUGAAGGAGCUAGCCUCCGGAGCCUGAACCGGUCGAAGAGUCCAGGUGGCUGCAACUGUUUAUUAAAAACACAGCACUCUGCUAACGCGUAAGCGGACGUAUAGGGUGUGACGCCUGCCCGGUGCCGGAAGGUUAAUUGAUGGUGUUAGCGCAAGCGAAGCUCCUGAUCGAAGCCCCGGUAAACGGCGGCCGUAACUAUAACGGUCCUAAGGUAGCGAAAUUCCUUGUCGGGUAAGUUCCGACCUGCACGAAUGGCGUAAUGAUGGCCACGCUGUCUCCACCCGAGACUCAGUGAAAUUGAAAUCGCAGUGAAGAUGCUGUGUACCCGCGGCUAGACGGAAAGACCCCGUGAACCUUUACUACAGCUUCACACUGGACGCUGAUGUUGCUUGUGUAGGAUAGCUGGGAGGCUAGGAAGCCCGGACGCCAGUUCGGGUGGAGCCGACCUUGAAAUACCAGCCUGGCAUCAUUGGCGUUCUAACUUGGCACCGUGAUCCGGUGUGAGGACAGUGUGUGGUGGGUAGUUUGACUGGGGCGGUCUCCUCCGAAAGCGUAACGGAGGAGCACGAAGGUACCCUCAGCACGGUUGGAAAUCGUGCAUUGAGUGCAAGAGCAUAAGGGUGCUUGACUGCGAGACGGACAGGUCGAGCAGGUACGAAAGUAGGUUCUAGUGAUCCGGUGGUUCUGUAUGGAAGGGCCAUCGCUCAACGGAUAAAAGGUACUCCGGGGAUAACAGGCUGAUACCGCCCAAGAGUUCACAUCGACGGCGGUGUUUGGCACCUCGAUGUCGGCUCAUCACAUCCUGGGGCUGAAGUCGGUCCCAAGGGUAUGGCUGUUCGCCAUUUAAAGUGGUACGCGAGCUGGGUUUAGAACGUCGUGAGACAGUUCGGUCCCUAUCUGCCGUGGGCGUUGGAGAUUUGAGAAGCGCUGCUCCUAGUACGAGAGGACCGGAGUGGACGCACCUCUGGUGUUCCGGUUGUCACGCCAGUGGCACUGCCGGGUAGCUACGUGCGGACGGGAUAACCGCUGAAGGCAUCUAAGCGGGAAGCCCCCUUCAAGAUGAGAUCUCCCCGAGACUUCGAGUCUCCUAAAGGGUCCAGCAAGACGAGCUGGUUGAUAGGCACGGUGUGGAAGCGCUGCAAGGCGUUGAGCUAACGUGUACUAAUGCCCCGUGAGGCUUGACCAU